rnacentral:ncRNA from 1 species
CGUGCACACUGGUACCCGAAAGAUGGUGAACUAUGCUUGAGCAGAAUGAAGCCAGAGGAAACUCUGGUGGAAGUUCGUAGCGGUGUUGACGUGCAAAUCACUCGUCUGACUUGAGUGUAGGGGCGAAAGACUAAUCGAACCAUCUAGUUGCUGGUUCCUUCCGAAGUUUCCCUCAGGAUAGCUGGCAUUUGUUUGUAACAAUUUUAUCCGGUAGAGCGAAUGAUUAGAGGUGUUGGGAACGCAAUGUUCUCAGCCUAUUCUCAAACUUCGAAUGGGUAAGCAAGGCGUUUUGCUUUGAUUUUACGAUGAAAUCGCCCAAUUAGAAUGUAUAAAUGCCUAGUGGGCCAAUUUUGGCAUUCUUCACUGUCGAUGAGUUUUAGAACAAAAAGAAUAGAUCCAGCUCCAGACUAUAGCAUUUUAAAAACUACCAAAAUCAA